AUCUUAUGGUUUGGGCAUUUGGCCAAUAUUCUAUGGAAUAUCUCUCAUACUUCAUAUAGAGGCUCACCAUUAUUUUGCCUAAAAUUCAUAUUUUCAUCUCUUGAGUC
rnacentral:snoRNA from 1 species